rnacentral:lncRNA from 1 species
AUGUAUGUAUGUUAAAAACUUUGAUAUUGUUCAAGAACUUGGGAUACUCUGUUUUUGUUUUUUACUUUCUUUUUUCCUUUGCUUAUGUUUGAGUAAUUUCUGUUAACAAAUUUGUAAAUUCACAGAUUCUUUCCUGAGUUGCUUUGAGUUGGCUAUCAAGUCUGUCAAGAGUUGUGGAGAAGAUGAUCGAAGAAAAUGCCUUGAAAAACAGCAAAUUUCUACAAAUGUAUGGUGCUAUCAUUGACCGUAGUAGGGCCCAGCAUAUAGUACACAGAGUGUUUACUGGGUAUAAUUAUGGAUACUGAAGAAUAAACAGAGAAAGGAACAGACAUAGAAACCCACAAAAGUUGAAUAAAAUGUAGACUCACAUAACUUAUGUGGAUAUAUACUUUUCCUCAUUACAAGAAAAUAAAUUACCAAAAAGAUAUGAAUGUUGAAUAAUAUAAGAACACUAUCUUUUUCAUUUAUGAAAUAUAAACAAUGCAAAAAGCACCUCUAUUAUUUGUGCAGUCAUUUCUGAACGUGUCCAAGCUGGAAUAAGUGGUAGACUGGCUGGGCUGAUUUACACUGGGAAGGGCACAGUAAGUACAGAAGAAAUGACCUUAAGGGGAGAAGGGAGUGAUGAGGGAAACAAAAGUCUGUGUGGUGGAUUUGAAAGUGAGGGAUCAUUUGAGAAAAGAGAU